CCCCCCUCAGGCCUCGCCCUGGUGUUGGGGCGGCCGCGGGACCUCCCGCGGCGCCCUCGAAGGAAGUGGCGGGCUCGUUUGCGGUCCCGGGCGUAGUAGAGUGUCUCGCCUAGGGUGCCGCGGUGAGUGCUAGCCGUAAAUCCUGCUUCCACAGGAAGAUUCUACGC
rnacentral:misc_RNA from 1 species